CUGCCACUCUGCCCUCUGGUCGCCGUCGCCGUCGUCGUCGUAUACUCGGUGAAGGUCAGUGCUCAGUGCUCGCGUUGUCUCUUUUUUGCGUCGCGACAGCGCCGCCGUACUUGUUCGCGGGGUCGCGGUGGAGCACACCGAAGAACCACUAGCGCCACCCUCGUUCAUCGCGCCACCACGGUUCAUCGCACCUCCGUCCUUGUUGCCAUUCACCGAGGCACCGACCCUGGUGCCAUUGCUUCGCUCCGCCGUGCGACAACAGAUCCACAUUGAAGUACCGUUGAAUUGGUUAGACUAGUAAACCAGUAAAUUCGUAGUUAGAGCUGAUCGAUCAUCAAUCCAGUUUUCAGAACCUUGGUCAUUCCACUAGUAAUACAUAUUAAAUAACGAAAAGACGAAGUGGCGGUGACUAGUGAGCAUGAGUGGGUGGUGUUGUGAUGGAGCUGAGAAGCAUGUCCGACGCGCUCCAAUUCCACGCGCAACUCCUGAAAGGGGGCACCCAAAACGACGACGCAGCGCGCAACGUCUCCAAGCUCUUCACUUUCGCCGCCCUCUCUCCCGGCGGUGACCUCUCCUAUGCUCGCCUCCUCCUCCGCUCCAUCCCCCGCCCCAACUCCUAUUACUAUAACACCAUCAUCCGCGCCUAUUCCCGCAGCCCCGACCCCACCCACCACUUCCACGCCCUCUCUCUCUUCCUCUCCAUGCUCCACCACCAACCUGCCCAACCUGAUAACUUCACUUACCCCUUCCUCCUUAAGUGUCUCGCCCGCUUGAAACUCACCCCACAAGGUAAACAGAUCCAUGCUCUCAUCACUAAGACGGGUUUUGGGUCGGAUCAGUAUAUCCAGAACGCCUUGAUCCAUAUGUAUUCUGAAUUUGGCGAGUUGGGGUUUGCUCGCAAGGUGUUUGAUAGAAUGCCUCUUAGGGAUGUGGUUUCUUGGACUUCAAUGAUUGAUGGCCUUGUCAACGCUGACCGCCACGUCGACGCCUUGGCCUUGUUUGAUAGCACGCUGAAGGCUGGGAUAGAGGUCAAUGAUGCCACGGUGAUGUCUGUUUUGAGGGCCUGUGCUGAAACCGGAGCUUUGAGUGUGGGGAAGAAGGUGCACAUGAUUGUGAAGGAGAAGGGGAUUGAUUCUAAGGCGAAUGUUGGCACUGCCCUUGUUGAUAUGUAUGCUAAAAGCGGGUGCUUGGAGAGUGCACGGAACGUGUUUGACAAUGUUGUGGACAAGGAUGUUUUUGUUUGGACCGCAAUGAUCUCUGCCCUUGCUAGCCAUGGAAUGUGCCAGGAAGCUAUUGGGAUGUUUGCUGAGAUGGAAACCUGUAGGAUAGAACCUGAUGAGAGGACAAUGACAGCAGUUCUCUCAGCGUGUAGGAAUUCAGGCUUGGUUAAUGAAGCUUAUGUGUUUUUGAAUGAUGUGCCAAAACGUUAUGGUAUAGAGCCUACAAUUCAGCAUUUUGGCUGUGUGGUGGACCUCCUCGCGAGAGCAGGGCGUUUGAAGGAAGCCGAGGAUUUCAUUAAUACAAUGCCUAUAAAGCCUGAUGCAGUUCUUUGGAGGACCCUGAUAUGGGCCUGCAAACUUCAUGGGGAUACCGACAGAGCAGGGCGUCUCAUGAAACACCUCAAACUGCGAAGGAGAACUGCUGAUGAUGAUAGUGGGAGUUACAUACUCGCUAGCAAUGUUUAUGCGUCUGCAGGGAAGUGGUGUAACAAAGCAGAGGUGAGAGAGUUGAUGAACAGAAGGGGAUUAACUAAGCCUCCAGGGUGUAGUAGGAUUGAAGUUGAUGGCACUGUAUGUGAAUUUUCUAUGGGAGAUUAUAAUCACCCUGAAGCAGAGAAAAUAUAUGACAAAUUGGAUCAGAUUGUAGAUGAAAUUAGAAAGGAAGGGUAUAAUCCGAGAGUAUCAGAGGUGUUGCUUGAGAUGGAUGAUGAGGAUAAGGCCAUUCAGUUACUUCAUCAUAGUGAGAAGCUAGCUCUUGCUUAUGGACUAAUCAGGAAUAGGCAGGGUUCCAAAAUCCGGAUUGUGAAGAAUCUAAGGUCUUGUGAGGACUGUCAUGAGUUUAUGAAACUAGUGUCUAAGAUAUACCAAAGAGAGAUCAUAGUAAGGGACAGGAUACGUUUCCAUCAUUUCAAAAAUGGUGACUGCUCUUGCAAGGAUUACUGGUAGCUAUGGUAUCUGCUUUGGCCAUGGAAACAUUCGAAUUAAUGUUCAGUGACGAUGUGGACAUGAUUGAAGAUCAUGAGUGCAACUCAUUAAUCAGCUAUGGCACCAUUCUGAUCAGAUACAUGAAUGGAACAAAUCAUUUGAAUCAUUCCAUCCAUUGGUUCUUGCUUGCGUCCUGAUUUUUUUAUUCUCAUAUUCCUCGCUUUGGGGGAUCGAAUGCUCAUUGAUGUCGCGCUGGUGGUCCCGCCGGAGAAGGCGUUGUCGAUAUUCGAAUCUGUACCGUCUCGAGUUCGUGUCCGGUCUUCCUCGUGUUAGCUAUGACGUCCAACCAGAUGGAGGUUGUGGAUGGUUGCCGCGAAGAAGACGUUGGCUGAUAAGGUGUUCGGAAGCAAUAAGAGUUUGAACAAUGCGAUUUCUUCGUCCCAUCACGAUGAUCAUGGAGCUGAUGAUGGAAUGUUAUUCAUGGAGAUUUGAGCUGAAAAGACCAAAACAUCUUGAUCCUCAUGCGUGACACCGGUGGUGGCCACACAGCUUCCACUGAGGCCAUCUGUAACGCCUUCCAAAUUGAUUCAGUGACGAGUAUAGGGGUAGUGAAGGAGGCAUUGGAUUCAAGUGGGGGGCAUGUAAGGGACUAUAUGCUUUACAUUGGGGCUCUAUGGACAGCAUACUUAGUGAUUAAAUGUUAGCUCUAAUUAUUGUUUUGGUUGUGAAUCGAAUCAUUCAUCUUAGUUUCAUUAUAGUUACUUUGGUUUAUUUCAAAGUUAUGCAAAUCUGUUAUUUUCCCCCCUGUGAUGUUAUAAACCCACCCCAUCUUGAAGUCAAUUUAUCUGGUGGAGAAAAUAAUUUUGAUUCCUUAUUUGCCAGUGGACCAACAUCAUCCAGGUUUGUCCAUAAUUUCUUGAUAUUGACUGAUUGUGAUUGUUAUCUUGAUGAUGCUGAAAUGCUUUAUUCAUAGGAAAAUUGGUCAUGUUGCAUCUUGUGAUGAAUAUCAAUUGCCAAUAACUGGUUCCAAUAACUUCCAUUUCCACUAAUUGGAUAGAUAAUUUUCUACUGAUUUGGUUGAUUUAUUUUUUAAAAACUAAUGCUGAUGCUGAAUGUGAGUAUUUAAUCACUUUUGUUAUGCAUAACACUUUUAAAUAUGUCAUAAGGUAGCAUUCUUGCAUCGCUUUUUGUCAAUCAACUAAUUUGUUUGGCCUCACAAUUGAUUUAGGAAAUAAUUGCUUUAUUCCUUAUUGCUGUUAAUUUCAAAUUUUGAUGAGAUUUUAUGUAGAAAAUCACUAAACUCUUAAGGAGUGGUUAAGUUUUUAAUAACUGCAGUAAUGAAGGAAUUUUUUUUGUAAAUAUUAGAAAAUCACUAAGAAAUAUUAAUAAUACGAAGAGAAAGUUAUUAUACAUAUGGAGGUUAGAGAGAUCCCUUUAUGCUGAUCAUACGUAGCCUUAAUUGGGUAGACCUUAGAAGCAAGAAAGCCCUCUAUUAAAAUAGGAGAUGGUGGCAGGGAAGGAGAGGAAGUAUGACAUGCUUAGUGGGAAAAGAUUGUGGUUAAAACAAGUUGUGUUGCUGCCCUUUCAGUGAGAUUUGCAAAUCAUGGGCACCCCACUACGGUGGUCUCAACUGAUCCUGCUCGCUCCUUAAGCAUACUAUUGAGCUGAAUUAUUAGUGACUCAUUAUUUAUUAUAAAAUUAUUGCACGGCAAUAGUCACUCUUGCUUUUUCCCCUCCUUUAUCAAUCAGCGGCAAAAUUUACUUAUAUAUUUUUUAUCAACUUUGUUUAGUGCUCAUGAAAAUCUGUUUUGGAUUGCUCUUGAAUAUUGUAAAGUCACCUAUUGAUUUAAGGUAUAUUUUCCAGAAUGUUACCUCAACUUCCUUAUAACUUGUUUUUGUUCAAGGGGCGAGGAACAGUUGCCACUGGCCGGGUUGAGCAAGGAAUCAUAAAAUUUGGUGAUGAAGUUGAGGCUUUGGGACUGAUGCAUGGUAUGUUUACUGAGGCUUUUCCUGGGUUUUGGGUUUCUUUUAAAUCUAAUUUAUUCCUUUUGAUUAAAAUGCCAAUUGUUGACAUUUAGUUACAUCUGUUAAUUAUGACCAUUCUUGCAUUCCAUGUAUGGCUAUGAGCUAGGACCUAUGGUUGAUAGCAUUUUGCAAACUUUUGAUGCUUUCCACUUGCAAUGCUGCUAUGCAAAUGUAUCGUGAUUUCUGUAAUUAAGAUAGCAAAUUUUUUAGUUGUUAAUUAGAUUCUAAUUUUUAGUAUUCUGGAAUCAAUACAAGACUCAAGGUCUGAAACUUUGG